ACUAGAGAGCUUGCUCAACAAAUUGAGAAGGAGGUUAAGGCUUUUAGCAAAUCUCUCGAGUCAUUUAAAACUGCAAUUGUUGUUGGUGGAACUAAUAUAUCUGACCAGAGGUCUGAGCUCCGUGCUGGAGUUGAUAUAGUUGUUGCUACUCCUGGGAGAUUUAUAGAUCAUUUUAAGCAAGGAAAUAGUUCACUUUCAAGAGUUUCAUUUGUUGUUCUAGAUGAG